GACAGAGGUGCCAAGCGUUAGGCGGAAUCACUGGGCUUAAAGCGUGUGUAGGCGGGUCGUUAAGUGUCUUGUGAAAUCCCCCGGCUCAACCGGGGAAUGGCUGGGCAUACUGGCGAUCUUGAGCAGUCUAGGGGCAGAUGGAACAGACGAUGGAGCGGUGAAAUGCGUAGAUAUCGUCUGGAACGCCAAAGGUGAAGACAGUCUGCUGAGGACUUGCUGACGCUGAGACACGAAAGCCAGGGGAGCGAACGGG
rnacentral:rRNA from 1 species